GAUGAAGAACGUAGCGAAAUGCGAUACGUAAUGUGAAUUGCAGAAUUCAGUGAAUCAUCGAAUCUUUGAACGCAUAUUGCACUCUUUGGUAUUCCGAAGAGUAUGCUUGUUUGAGUAUCUGUAAACAUCUCAAACCUCUACUUUAUUGAAGAGGAUUGGACUUGAGCGAUCCCGCGAGCUUGGAUUAAUCCAAACUUUUGGGCCGCUUGAAAUGCAGAUGCAAGAGGACUAUCUUCUGAGCGAAAAGCAUAUCCAUUUAGUCCGUAAGGGCUAUCUCUUUGCUUCAGCUAACAUAAAGGUUGAUUAUCCAUUCUAGCUUAAUCGCAGGAAUCUUGUUUUGUUUUUCGGAAUAAAACUUGUAAACUCGAUCUCAAAUCAAGUAAGACUACCCGCUGAACUUAAGCAUAUCAUAAGCGGAGGA
rnacentral:misc_RNA from 1 species